AGCUUUCUGAAUCCGUGCCGAGAAUUCGUCAGACACCAACUCAUCAGAGUUGGUCAGACUUUCAAGAUAAGUGAAGUU
rfam:Schistosoma curassoni strain Dakar, Senegal genome assembly, scaffold: SCTD_scaffold0015430